GACUACAUAGUUAAUUUCUUGAGCCCGUUUUAGCCCAAGAACUCAGGCCUAGCGAAGCCAAGCCCAGACUGAGGUCUAACUGUUGAAGAAUCUUGUCUGCUUUGUAUUAGCUGGAAGUCGGUAUGCUGCAAAAUCCCAGUAGCAGCUUCAUUGCAUCAUUGAAGGAGCCACCGAUUUCUGUUUCUUUAGAGAAGAUUUACAAUCAAUCUCCAAAAUUUACGUUUCCUUGCUCAUUUUUCCAUUUCCUUUUGCAAAGUUAAUCAAACUCUGGCUCUGUUAAUUAUGUAUUUCUAUUUUUUGUUUCCUUUUCAAAUGACGGAAACUGAAAUUUGUGUUCAAGUUGUAAUUCUUGAAAUUAGAAAAAUUAUAGAUGUUUCUGAAUAUGAAGAGUUUUUGGAAACAUAUGGCGUUUUGUUAUUGAAUUUUGGUUUUCACUAAUUGAUUGGUUGCUUUUAUUGCAUUAUAGAGGAGGUAAAUCAGAGUCUUGCUUAAUGAACAGAUAGCAAAAUAGUUCAUUUGAUAUUUGGUAUGAAUAAUGGUGUUCCCUGUGCAGGAAUACACACUAGUUCAUGAUAAAUAACUCUUACAUUGGUUGCAUCAGCGAAUUUAACUGGGUAUGCUUUAUUCUGGUUUAAAUGGGGCAUAAAUCAUACAUCAUUGGCUUCUAUAGAGCCCAAAGUGUACACUAGAUAGGGUUUUAAGGAAACAGGUUCUUGGGUAUGAUCUAUUUUCUUUUGUAAAACAAGUAAUGGAAGGGAAUUUAUCACAAGGAAGUAUGAUUCCUGGGGGGACUCCAUUUGGAGGCCUUGACUUGCAAGGAUCCAUGAGAGUUAAUCAGCAAGCGCAGCACCAGCAUUCUAUACACCAUCAGCCUCAUCCUCUGCAUCGCCAAGGGUCUUCUGUACAUCCUUCAAUUCAUGAGGGUUUUCCCCUCACAGUGGGAACCAUGCACAAUUCUGAUCAAACCAUUUCCAUGACUGAUUACAAUAAGGGAGAUAAGGGGAAAAAUUCAGCAAGUGAUGAGGAUGAGCCAAGCUAUACUGAAGAUGGUGCUGAUGGUCACAAUGACACAAGUAGAGGGAAAAAGGGAUCACCAUGGCAGCGUGUUAAGUGGACUGAUAAAAUGGUGAGGCUUUUAAUAACUGCUGUGUCUUACAUAGGAGAGGAUGCAACUUCAGAUUGUGGUGGUGGCAUGAGAAGGAAAUUUGCAGUUUUACAGAAAAAGGGCAAGUGGAAAUCAAUUUCAAAGGUCAUGGCUGAAAGGGGUCACCAUGUUUCACCCCAGCAGUGUGAGGAUAAAUUCAAUGAUCUUAACAAAAGGUAUAAAAAGCUAAACGAUAUGCUUGGCAGGGGCACUUCAUGCCAAGUUGUGGAGAAUCCAGCACUACUGGAUGUUAUAGAUUAUUUAACAGAAAAAGAGAAAGAGGAUGUUAGGAAAAUAUUAAGCUCGAAGCAUCUAUUUUAUGAAGAGAUGUGUUCAUAUCAUAAUGGAAACAGAUUGCAUCUGCCUCAUGAUCCAGCAUUACAGCGUUCCUUGCAGUUGGCUCUUAGAAGUAAAGAUGAUCAUGAUAGUGAUGAUGUGAGAAAGCAUCAACAUGAUGAUCUUGAUGAAGAUGAUCAAGAAGUGGAAACCGAUGAUCAUGAUGAACUAGAGGAGAGUCAACCUCCACAUGGGGAUAGCAGGGGAAUGCAUGGGGUCUUAGGGGUCUCUAUGAAAAGGUUGAGACAAGGCCAGGGCCUUGAAGAUGCUUGUUUUGGGAAUUCAUCUCAGGAUGGUGGUAAAGGUUCCUAUUCCCAUUUGCAGAAUGCCCAAGUUGAUAUAAAUCAAGUCUCAUCUGAAAGUACAAGAGCAGCAUGGUUACAGAAGCAAUGGAUGGAAUCUCGUAUGGUUCAGUUAGAAGAGCAGAAGCUACAAAUUCAACAUGAAUCGUUGGAAUUAGAAAAAGAGCGAUUCAAGUGGCAAAGGUUUAGCUGGAAAAGAGACCGUGAACUGGAAAAGUUGAGGAUGGAAAAUGAGAGGAUGAAGCUUGAGAAUGAGCGAAUGGUAUUGGAGUUGAAGCGAAAAGAAAUGGGUAUUGAUUUUAAUUAGUUGUCUGGACCCUGGUUCUGUUCGAUUUUGUUAAACACAACAGCUGGACUGGUGUGCGACUUUACCCGGGUUCUGUUUUUUGCAUCUAUUGCAGUGAUAGUUCGUAACUGCAGAGGUCAAGUCAUUGACGGAGUUGCUAAGAGAAUUCAUUGUGCUUCUCCUUUGGUAGGAGAAGCUAGAGCCAUGUUGGAGGCAAUUCGUUUAGCCAUGAGGAAGGAUUAUAUAUCUUGUGUGUUUGAAUCAGAUUCUGCAGUACUUAUUAAUGCCAUUCAGAAUCAUAAAGGCAGAAUCCCAUGGGAGAUUCAAGCAACUUUACAAGCCAUUAAAGCUCUCAUUCCUAGAUUUAGCAAUAUCAGCUUUUUCUGGGUUAAUAGGAAACUCAAUUCAGUUGCUGAUUGUGUUGCUAGAUUGUUUGCCUCUAAUCUGCUACCUUGUAAUUGGCUGAGUACCAUGCCCAUUUCUAUUUUGAAGUGUAUCUUGGCUGAUGCCCCAGUGGCCAUGUAAUGCAAUUUGCAAUUCAAAAAAAAAAAAAUGAUGCUUCUUGUUUUUGACUUA